UGGGGAAUUUUGGACAAUGGGCGCAAGCCUGAUCCAGCAAUGCCGCGUGCAGGAUGAAGGCCUUCGGGUUGUAAACUGCUUUUGUACGGAACGAAACGGCGAGCUCUAAUACAGUUUGCUAAUGACGGUACCGUAAGAAUAAGCACCGGCUAACUACGUGCCAGCAGCCGCGGUAAUACGUAGGGUGCAAGCGUUAAUCGGAAUUACUGGGCGUAAAGCGUGCGCAGGCGGUUAUGUAAGACAGAUGUGAAAUCCCCGGGCUUAACCUGGGAACUGCAUUUGUGACUGCAUAGCUAGAGUACGGUAGAGGGGGAUGGAAUUCCGCGUGUAGCAGUGAAAUGCGUAGAUAUGCGGAGGAACACCGAUGGCGAAGGCAAUCCCCUGGACCUGUACUGACGCUCAUGCACGAAAGCGUGGGGAGCAAACAGGAUUAGAUACCCUGGUAGUCCACGCCCUAAACGAUGUCAACUGGUUGUUGGGUCUUCACUGACUCAGUAACGAAGCUAACGCGUGAAGUUGACCGCCUGGGGAGUACGGCCGCAAGGUUG
rnacentral:rRNA from 1 species